GCUGGUUAUGGUAGCACAUGCCUCUAGUCCCAGCUACUCGGAAGGCUGAGGCAGGAGGACUGCUUGAGCCCAGGAGUUUGAGGCCAGCCUGGAUAACACAGUAAGAACCUGUCUUUU
rnacentral:sRNA from 1 species